rnacentral:rRNA from 1 species
UAGGGAAUCUUCGGCCAUGGACGAAAGUCUGACCGAGCAACGCCGCGGGAGUGAAGAAGGGUUUCGGAGCGUAAAACUCUGUUGUUCGAGAAGAACAAGGACGUUAGUAACUGAACGUCCCCUGACGGUAUCUAACCAGAAAGCCACGGCUAACUACGUGCCAGCAGCCGCGGUAAUACGUAGGUGGCAAGCGUUGUCCGGAUUUAUUGGGCGGAAAGCGAGCGCAGGCGGUUUCUUAAGUCUGAUGUGAAAGCCCCCGGCUCAACCGGGGAGGGUCAUUGGAAACUGGGAGACUUGAGUGCAGAAGAGGAGAGUGGAAUUCCAUGUGUAGCGGUGAAAUGCGUAGAUAUAUGGAGGAACACCAGUGGCGAAGGCGGCUCUCUGGUCUGUAACUGACGCUGAGGCUCGAAAGCGUGGGGAGCAAACAGG